rnacentral:rRNA from 1 species
CGGGGUGCACCAGGCGCGAAAACUUUACAAUGCCGGCAACGGCGAUAAGGGAACCUCGAGUGCCAGGUUACAAAUCUGGCUGUCGUGAUGCCUAAAAAGCAUUGCAUAGCAAGGGCCGGGCAAGACCGGUGCCAGCCGCCGCGGUAACACCGGCGGCUCGAGUGGUAACCGUUAUUAUUGGGUCUAAAGGGUCUGUAGCCGGCCGGGUAAGUCUCUUGGGAAAUCUGGCAGCUUAACUGUCAGGCUUUCAGGAGAUACUGCCUGGCUCGAGGCCGGGAGAGGUGAGAGGUACUUCAGGGGUAGGGGUGAAAUCUUGUAAUCCUUGAAGGACCACCAGUGGCGAAGGCGUCUCACCAGAACGGACCUGACGGCAAGGGACGAAAGCUAGGGGCACGAACCGGAUUAGAUACCCGGGUAGUCCUAGCCGUAAACGAUACUCGCUAGGUGUCGGCCACGGUGCGACCGUGGUCGGUGCCGUAGGGAAGCCGUGAAGCGAGCCACCUGGGAAGUACGGCCGCAAGGCUGAAACUUAAAGGAAUUGGCGGGGGAGCACAAGGGCGAUUCG